UACGUAGGUGGCGAGCGUUGUCCGGAUUUACUGGGCGUAAAGAGCGCGCAGGCGGUCGAUCAAGUCGGAUGUGAAAGCCCCCGGCUCAACUGGGGAGGGUCAUUCGAUACUGGUCGACUCGAAGGCAGGAGAGGGAAGCGGAAUUCCCGGUGUAGUGGUGGAAUGCGUAGAUAUCGGGAGGAACACCAGUGGCGAAGGCGGCUUCCUGGACCGGUUCUGACACUGAGGAGCGAAAGCGUGGGGAGCGAUCCGG
rnacentral:rRNA from 1 species